UCGGAUAUGGUGUAACGGCUAACAUUGCCGCCUCUCAUGAGACCGCGGCAGCUCGGGGUUCGAUUCCCCGUAUCCGAA